rnacentral:rRNA from 1 species
UCUACGGGGCGCAGCAGUGGGGAAUAUUGCACAAUGGGGGAAACCCUGAUGCAGCGACGCCGCGUGAGUGAAGAAGUAUUUCGGUAUGUAAAGCUCUAUCAGCAGGGAAGAAAAUGACGGUACCCAAAGAGGAAGCUCCGGCUAACUACGUGCCAGCAGCCGCGGUAAUACGUAGGGAGCGAGCGUUGUCCGGAAUUACUGGGUGUAAAGGGAGCGUAGGCGGGCGAGAAAGUUGAAUGUUAAAUCUACCGGCUUAACUGGUAGCUGCGUUCAAAACUUCUUGUCUUGAGUGAAGUAGAGGCAGG